rnacentral:rRNA from 1 species
GAAACCGUUCAGGGGUAAACCUGAGAAACCCAAAAGAUCGAAUGGGGAGAUUCAUCGUCGACGUAGCUGGCUCCCGUUGGUGCGCGAUACCCCGAAUGGGCCUUAACGGUUCGAAGGAGAGGGUACACCAUCUUCGGCGAACGAUCCGGCGACGUAGUCGUGCACUUCUCCCUUAGUAGAACGUCGCGACCCGUUGUGUGUCGGUCUACGGCCUGGGCUAAUUGCCUGUCGCGGCGGCUUCGUACGCUCGCGGCAGAGGCUCGGUCGCCUGGCCGGCUGCACGACGGUACUCUGACGGUAUCGGGCCGCAACCAAUCCAUUCUUGAAUGUGUGUGCGUCAGAACCGCCGCAAGCUCGGACAGAUUUACUCGGAGUGUGUGGACCUAGUGCCCUCACCGGGUCUGGCCUGUUGUUGGUAGGCGGUGUUCUUGGACUGGCCAAGCUUUGAAUUACCGGUCGGCGACGCUACUGCUUUGGGUACUCUCAGGACCCGUCUUGAAACACGGACCAAGGAGUCUAACAUGUGCGCGAGUCAUUGGGACAUGUAAACCUAAAGGCGCAAUGAAAGUGAAGGUCGGCCUCGGCGUCGACCAAGGGAGGAUGGGCCGCUUACGUGCCGGCCCCGCACUCCCGGGGCGUCUCGUUCUCAUUGCGAGAAGAGGCGCACCCAGAGCGUACACGUUGGGACCCGAAAGAUGGUGAACUAUGCCUGGUCAGGACGAAGUCAGGGGAAACCCUGAUGGAGGUCCGUAGCGAUUCUGACGUGCAAAUCGAUCGUCGGAACUGGGUAUAGGGGCGAAAGACUAAUCGAACCAUCUAGUAGCUGGUUCCCUCCGAAGUUUCCCUCAGGAUAGCUGGCACUCGCUCGUUCCCCCGUGAACGUGUGCGAGUUUCAUCUGGUAAAGCGAAUGAUUAGAGGCCUUGGGGCCGAAACGACCUCAACCUAUUCUCAAACUUUAAAUGGGUGAGAUCUCUGGCUUGCUUGGAUAAUACUGAAGCCAAGAGAUUUUGAAUCAGAGUGCCAAGUGGGCCAAUUUUGGUAAGCAGAACUGGCGCUGUGGGAUGAACCAAACGCAGAGUUAAGGCGCCUAAGUCGACGCUUAUGGGAUACCAUGAAAGGCGUUGGUUGCUUAAGACAGCAGGACGGUGGCCAUGGAAGUCGGAA